UUAAACAUUUAUAAUUCAAAUCGACACGACUCCGAGACAGGAAAUACAGACUAAAACCGUAGACAGAGUAACUAAUAGACCCAAUGACGAUACCUUUCUCACUUACACAAGAAAGAGAGCGAAAAUACCAUAACAAAUGCAUAAGACAAAGACACAAAUACCCAAUUUUUUGUCCCUUAGUGUGUAACCUGUUUUUCAAGAUCCGCAACUUGAGUUGCGAAACAAACUUUGACAGUUCGUGCCUUCAUCGUGCUUGGUGUUCGAAUUUUGGAUAUUAUUUAGUAAAAAAUCGAUACGAGUACAUUGAAAAGACGGUGAAAUUAUCUUAAUAUAGACAUCGAAGUAAAUAGAAUGGUGCGUUGUCGUGUUAUUGCAUGUAUAAGCGAUAGUGAGAAGAAAAUUGCCGGUGUGUCUUUUCACGCAUGAUCCAGACCUACGUAAUUAAUGGAUCGAAGUGGUAGAAAAGAUUGGAUUCUCACAAAAUAUUGUAAAAUAUGAACAAGCCAAUGAAAAAGUAAGAAAUGUGUUUCGUCAUCAAUAAUCAAUCUGCUUAUAUUUUUUGUAUCUACUAAAUUGAUUAUAAAGACAAAAGAAAAAUCUCA